CUCUUGGAGGAUGCUGAUCUCGUUGCCCAUAUCCUUCAUGGACUCACACCAGAUUAUGAGUCAUUCACAACCUCUAUUCGCGUCAGAUCCGAGCCAGUCACUCCUGAUGAACUUCAUGGACUUUUACUAAGUCAAGA